UACGUAGGGGGCAAGCGUUGUCCGGAUUUAUUGGGCGUAAAGAGCGUGUAGGCGGCUUUACAGGUCCGUUGUGAAAACUCGGGGCUCAACCUCGAGACGCCGGUGGAAACCGUAAAGCUAGAGUCCGGAAGAGGAGAGUGGAAUUCCUGGUGUAGCGGUGAAAUGCGCAGAUAUCAGGAGGAACACCCGUGGCGAAAGCGGCUCUCUGGGACGGUACUGACGCUGAGACGCGAAAGCGUGGGGAGCAAACAGG
rnacentral:rRNA from 1 species